CUGCAACCAGGCCUUGCAGAUGCACGGGGGCUACGGCUACCUGAAGGAUUACGCUGUUCAGCAGUACGUGCGGGACUCCAGGGUCCACCAGAUUCUAGAAGGUAGCAAUGAAGUGAUGAGGAUACUGAUCUCUAGAAGCCUGCUUCAGGAGUAGAACCCACACUUGUUCUGGCCUGGUGUUCAGUGCGACUGCAGUCAGUGUUGAGUGGUGCCAUGUGGGCCGCUCUAUUCCAAAGGAAUCAUGGAUUAGACCCAAGGGCUGAGCUCCUCUAGGGCAGGACCUGCACCCUGUGUGUUGGCACCAGCAUCGGGUCUUGGACUGGGGCAGAAUCCCCAGUGGAACCGGAAGAGCUGGACUGAUGAGAAACAUCAGAAGAACACAUACUACCUUGUUUUCCUAAUGCCAGAAGGGUGACCAGUGAAGAUUCACCGUCAAACCAUGAAAGUCCUUUCUUGGAUCCACUUUAUCUUGAUUAGUCUGCAUUUUACUAGUUCACUGGAUCCCUCCUCUAGGGGCCUGGGGACUUUCACUGAUGCUCUUCCUGAUUCUAGAGCAAAGGUGUGGGAAGGGGAAAUGGAGGAAUGCCCUCCUGUCUGUGUCGUUCUCUGUGCCACAGCUACAGAUGCAGAAGGUUUCUCUGGAUAGCACACCUCUGAAUGUAAAUCAUGAUAAAAUGGAUAUUUGGAAACUUACUCCUAAGCUGUGAUUUAGGGUGUAUUUCUACUUCUGGACUGCCUCAAUAUCAAGGGCUGAGACUUUUGAAUUUUGAAUAUUCGUUGGGUUUCAUGUUAAGAAGCCUGUGGUCUAGGAGUGCUAUUCAGUGUUUCUUUUCCUGAUAAACACUUUGAAUAUUUUUUUUGUGUUUUUGUUUCCUUUUCUGAAGCUGUUCCUCCUUUUAAAUAUUUUUAAUCACAUUGAUAAAAUCUAUCCUUCACCACCUCUGGUUCUACUAUAGUUGAUUUUUAUUUUAAAUGUUUAAUUGUAUUUGAUUAAACACUUAACUGGAUUUUGGAAUAAUAAAACUCUCGUCCAAUUUGGCUUUUA
rnacentral:lncRNA from 1 species